UACGUAGGGUGCGAGCGUUAAUCGGAAUUACUGGGCGUAAAGCGUGCGCAGGCGGAGCGUUAAGACAGGUGUGAAAGCCCCGAGCUUAACUUGGGAAUUGCGCUUGUGACUGGCGAGCUGGAGUGUGGCAGAGGGAGGUGGAAUUCCACGUGUAGCAGUGAAAUGCGUAGAGAUGUGGAGGAACACCGAUGGCGAAGGCAGCCUCCUGGGCCAGCACUGACGCUCAUGCACGAAAGCGUGGGGAGCAAACAGG
rnacentral:rRNA from 1 species